CUCCUUCUAACCAUUUGAGAUACCUGUGAUUUAAAUCUAUCAUAACUUGGGUAGGUAGGAUGUCAAAGACCCGGUUGCCCUUCUUCCUUCUAUUUCUUUCUUUGAAUAAUGGUCGGGUCAAAAUUUGGUCUUGUUGUCUGCUUUUUUUUAUUUGAAAACACUUUGUGUUUACACCCAAAAAGGGGCAUGAUGUAGACACCUAAUUUUGUCCCUCCCAAAACCCAAUUUAUCCAUUUUUUACCUCUUGUUAUUAUAUACCCUCAUCCGUAUGAUUAUAUCCCACAAAAAUACAAAAAAUAACAACCCUUAACAAAAUCUCUAACAAAUUAAAUCCCUAACCUUAUCCUAACAAACUUUAUCCUAACAAAUCUUAUUCUCAACACCCCUACCCUCUCCCACGUAACCAUACCCCCUCCUUCUAUAUUUUUUUACACGGUGUUAGCUUGGAUAAAAAGAAAAAUCUCUCACACCAAAAGAGAUAUAUACACACAUACAGGCCCCAUCACUAAGGGGACACCACCAACGUCAUCUUCUCCACAUUAUACCAUCACAGCAAGACACUCCAUUCUUCCACUCACGAAAAAAGGAAAACACCAUCAUCAUCUUCCAUUUCUUCUGGCUCACGGAUACACUCACUAACCUCAAGAUAUCUGGGGAUACAUACACUGAUAUAGGGAAUCGAGGAGUGAGGUGACCGGAGAAAAUAAAGAUAGGAGUGGGAGAGAUCGAUUGAGAGAGAAAUUGAGAAAAUGGGGAGAGUGAGAGAGAGAACUGGUCGGAGAGUGAGAAAACCAGAGAGAAAGGGAUUCUCAAGUUUUCCUGGUUUCGAAGAUUGUCGUGUUGGAGUUGGUUCAUAGUCGAGUUAUGGUAUUCUUCGAGGCUGAAUCGGGGCUCUUCGUCACGCGGAGUCGUCUUCUUGAUUGACUGAUAUUUGAAAUAAAAUCAUCAUUGAGGUCCAUUUCUACUCCUUUCCUCUUUUUAUUUCAUUAUUGAUGGAAUAUGGUGCAUUGGAUGGAAUCUCGUGUGUUGUUUGAUCUUGAUUGGUGAUGAAUUGCUACUUUGAUAUUGACUUUUUGCCUAAUUUUCGUUGAAAAGUGAUUGUGGAUUGUUGAAAUAGAAAUCAUGAAUUGUGAAAAUUUAGUGUUGAGAAGAGAAUUUGGGGUGGAAUUGUGAAACUGAUAAAAAGGGUAAAUUUGGUUUAAUUUUGGUUUGUUGUUGUUUUGCUUAAUUCGGAAUAAAGUUUGUGAAUUCUAUAGUAUCAUGAUAGGUCGCAUUGGAUAGGCAAAAUGUUUAGGUUCGGGUAGGCAAAAUUUAGGAGUGGUGUGUUGAUUGAACGCGUUGAAUGUUUAAAUGAGUGUUUGGAAUGUUUGUGAAAUGGUUUGUCUUUCUCGCAUUUGGAGCUGGGCAAUGCUCGAGACACAUUGUAUUUAUUCACCGGGGAAUGUACCGACGUAUUAUGUUGGCGGAAGACGUUUUGAUGAAGGCCCGAGGCAUCGGGUAAGCAUUGGAGCAUAGUUUAGGAUUAGUCUAGAAUAGGAUUUAUAUUUUUGUAUUCUUCUAUCCUUGGGAUUGUAUAAUUCGGACUGGAUAUUAUUUUAGUUUUGAAUUUUGUUUGAUUUGUUUA